rnacentral:lncRNA from 1 species
UUUGAGGAAGUCGAGAGCUGUAAGGAAAGCCAGGAACAGGGGCAAGGGAGAGAUGCGUCCCGAAUGAUCCUGUGCCAAUUCUUUCUGGAAUCUUUUAUGUGAUCUCAGAUGCCCUUUCCAUACUUGACACAAUGAUUGUGGCACCCACUGGUCUAGCUGUGGUCUACAAGGAACCCCCAAAGGGAAGGGCACAGUGAGCAGGGGCAUCGGCCUGAGGGACAAGGAUUGGAGAGGGCAGGUUGAAUCUGAUGAUUCUGUUUCUAAUUUUUCCAGUACACGCCAUACUAUUUUCCCUGUUCCUUCAUGGUUUUACAUUCCCUCCAAUCACAUUCGAGCAUUCCUACUUCCCUCUAGUUUCACCAAUGCUUGUUUGUUUAUCAUAUCCAUCCUAAUGUGUGGUAUCACAUUAUUGGUUUGAUUUGUGCUUCCCUAUGAUUAGUGAUUUGAACAUCACUUUAGAUGUUUAUUGGCCAUUGCUAUAUCUUCUUUAGGGACACGUCUACUCGAAUCUUCUGACCAUUGUUAAUGGGAUGCUUUGGGUUUCUUGUUGUUUAGUUUUGGCUGUUCUUUAUAUAUGAGGGAUAUCAGCCUCUUUUCAGAUAUAUGAUUUGCAAAUAUUUUUCCUAAUCCACGGGUUAUCUUUUCACUCAGUUCACAGUGUUUUUUGAUGCACAAAAGUGUCUGUCAUUUAGAUGUAAUCCAAGGAAUCUAAUUUUCUUUUGUUGCCUAUGCUUUUGGUGUCACAUCCCAGAAAGCAUUGCCCAAUCUGAUGUCAUGAAAGUGUGGCCAAUGUUUUCUUUUAGG